GAUGGGCAUGCGGCGCAUUAGCUAGUUGGCGGGGCAACGGCCCACCAAGGCGACGAUGCGUAGGGGUUCUGAGAGGAAGGUCCCCCACACUGGUACUGAGACACGGACCAGACUCCUACGGGAGGCAGCAGUGAGGAAUAUUGGUCAAUGGGCGCAGGCCUGAACCAGCCAAGUCGCGUGAGGGAAGACGGUCCUACGGAUUGUAAACCUCUUUUGUCGGGGAGUAACGUGCGGGACGCGUCCCGUAUUGAGAGUACCCGAAGAAAAAGCAUCGGCUAACUCCGUGCCAGCAGCCGCGGUAAUACGGAGGAUGCGAGCGUUAUCCGGAUUUAUUGGGUUUAAAGGGUGCGCAGGCGGCGCGCCAAGUCAGCGGUCAAAGUUCCGGGCUCAACCCGGUGUCGCCGUUGAAACUGGCGUGCUCGAGUGCGUGCGAGGAAGGCGGAAUGCGUUGUGUAGCGGUGAAAUGCAUAGAUAUGACGCAGAACUCCGAUUGCGAAGGCAGCUUUCCAGCGCGCUACUGAAGCUGAGGCACGAAAGCGUGGGGAUCGAACAGGAUUAGAUACCCUAGUAGUCCACGCCGUAAACGAUGAGUACUAAGUGUCGGGAAACCGGUGCUGAAGUUAACACAUUAAGUACUCCGCCUGAGUAGUACGGUCGCAAGGCUGAAACUCAAAGGAAUUGACGGGCACCCGCACAAGCGGUGGAGCAUGCUGUUUAAUUCGAAGAUACGCGAAGAACCUUACCUAGACUUGACAUCCCCGGCAAAUCUAUAGAGAUAUAGAGGAGGUUACCCGGGUGACAGGUGGUGCAUGGUUGUCGUCAGCUCGUGUCGUGAGAUGUUCGGUUAAGUCCGAUAACGAGCGCAACCCUCGUCGUUAGUUACUAACAGUUAGGCUGAGGACUCUAACGAGACUGCCGGUGAUAAACCGGAGGAAGAUGGGGAUGACGUCAAAUCAUCAUGCCCCUUACGUCUAGGGCUACAGGCGUGCUACAAUGGCCGAUACAAAAAGAAGCAAAACCGUGAGGUGGAGCAAAUCUUAAAAAUCGGUCUCAGUUCGGAUUGAAGUCUGCAACUCGACUUCAUGAAGCUGGAAUCGCUAGUAAUCCUGAAUCAGAAUGUCAGGGUGAAUACGUUCCCGGGUGUUGCACUCACCGCCCGUCA
rnacentral:rRNA from 1 species